UGUCCCCUUGGUUUGAUCCACAGCUGCAUUGCCUUUACUUUUGAGCUGCUCUGCCACAGCUUCUCGUCUGAAAAAGGUCCUCUGGGAGUUUUCACUCAUUAAGAGACGAGCCAAAAGGACGGAAGGAGAACUGUAAUACAUGGAUGUAACAUAGAGAAAUUGGGUGACUGAACAGAUGGAGACAGAUGCUGAAGAACCGACAGAGAGAGAAAGCCUUCCUCUAGAGCCAGCUCCCUGAAUCUGGACUUCUAACCUCCUACACGGUAAAAUUAGAACGCAGAAAGACGCAUUUACAAGUCAUGUAGGUGACAACAGGGAUGGGAUUACCUUCUCCUGACUCCUGUUUCAGACCCUUUCCACUCCGUCACAGAGCCUGCAGGGCAUUACUGGGCAGCACUGAAUACACAGAAGGAGAACAUUUACAGGGUAAAAGAUGACAAAACUGAGGCCCCAAGCGGUAAAAGAACCAGUCCAAGCUAUCCCGACAGCUGGUGGCAGACCUGGGGCUGACCAAGCCUCUCUUCAUUCCUGAUUUGCCGCUGCUGCCUAAAACAGCUGUGCACAACAGCUUCUUCUCAGGUCUGUAAACCAGCUGUGAGGACAGCUGGGAAGUGAGAAUCGGUGAAGAGCCAACCAGCGGCGCCGGGCCUUCUUUGCAAGUUUCUGAAGGGCCCUAGAGAAUCAUUGCCUCCCUCAGGACAGACAGCAGGGCCGACCCACAAGCUGCCGGAGGAUCCAGGCCUUGGAGGCUUUAGUCCCUGGUUCCGCUCGCCAUCUGCAGAUAAGACCCGAAGGCCCCUCCACAAUGCCGCCUCAGCCGCUGAGGAAACUUCCUCUGGCCCUUAUGCAGGUCCUGGGAUGGGAGCACACAGCCUCCUAGCUGCUCACAGUCAGGCCCUGCCUGCAGAAUAGGGUCUCCAGCUCCUCGGUGAGACACAAACCCAAACACGCAUGGAUUUCAUUUUCCUAAGGCAGCAUUUCCGGUCUUCCUGCAGCAUGAAUGAAUUGCCUCUAGAAUGUCACUUGUUUCAGAAUAUUUUCUCCUUUCGUCUGCUUCCUGGGCAGCAGGCAGUUCAGGAGCCUCAUCCACACUGAAGACAACCCCAUUCCUUGGCUUCUCCAGGAAAGAUAUGGGUAGACCAGAUGUUUUUUGUUCCUUCCCAGAAUCCUGUGUAUACAUUUGAUGUAUUUAUCAGCUGUGAGAGGAGCCCAUAGCACAGGACACUGGGCAGAAUUUGUUGCAGUGAAAUGGCCAGAGGGUAGAGAUGUCUUUCCAGGCCAAUCCUGACUUUUCUCCCUAGCCAAUGGACUUGGAGACAAAGUCCUUUGCCUCUCUUUAGUCCAGGUAUCUCACUUCUAAUAGUAGAAGACUAUAAGUGGCAGAGCCAUAAAGGACAGUUGGCAGUUCGCCCACUGCACAGUUUUGGGGUGGGAGUGGCAGUCUGUGAACGGCAUCCUUAGAGUUGACAAUGCACACCUGCACACCUGUACACAAUGGCCCUGACAAUGGCCCACUCAGUUCCAGUAGUCUAAAUGCAAAGUUGUGUCAAGAGUUCUUACACUAGCCAAGGAAACCCAGGAUCCCCACUGGCCCAGCUAGUGGAGUGAUAGUUAAGAGCCAGAGCUCUGGAUCAGGGACUCUGGGUGUGAUGGUAAGGUUGUGAGUCAACCUGGCUGGGUCAUGAUUCUCAGUGAUUUGGCAGUUAUGAUGUAGCUUGGCAGUAUAAUGAUGUAAUCCCCUCCAUAAUGAGAUCUGAUAUAAUGCAAUCGCGUCCA